GGCCCCGCGGCCCCGCCUCCCCGCGGGAGCCAGCUGCGGCCACUUGGCCCUGCGGUGUCACAGCUGCUGCCAGCAAUGCCAUCCUGCUCAGGCAGGGGUGAGGAAUGUGAUUUAAUCUCUGCUGGAAUGUGUCCUGGGGAGCCCCACUCCCACCCCACAGGGGGCUGGGUCCGGGGCGGCCGGAACCCAGGCGCGGGAAGUGAGCCAGGGCCCUCCUGGAGAUGAGGAGGCGGCAGGAGUGAUGCUCCCGGCCGUAGCUGGCUCUGGGGAGGCACAGCGCAGCCUCGGAAGCCAGGGGAGCCCGGGAGGGCAGAAGGGUCUCAGGGGAGGCCUGCAGGGAAGCCCUGCUGCCUCUGUCCCCACACGCCUGCCUCUGUUCCGUCACCGGGGCCCCUUCACCUCCCCCUUGCAGCCCCAGCCCUGCGCCUGGCCCCGCCCUCCUAGACCCCGGUCCUAGAGCGUCCCCUACCCCCAGCCUUCUCUUCCAGGCCCCCCCAGUCCUGUCACUCCUACCCCACCCCCCCUGACUCAGCUGCAGCCCAGAAAUAACGCCUGGCAGGUGCCAGGAGGCCUCCGUCGGGACCCUCCCUGCAGCUGCUCCCCAGGGCCCCAGGAAGGGUGGUCAGAGACUUCCUGGCUCCUCCAGGACUCUGCCCCCUGCAAGCCUAAGGAGAAACAGCCUCACUCAACACGCGGGACCCCCGUGUCCCUCUGGCUCCCCCUUCUAACCUGCCCUCGGUCUUCCAGCCACGCCCCCUUUCCUCACCCCUUCUAACUCCCCAGCCCCUGGGUCAGUCUCUCCAGAAUUCCUUCCUGGUCCCGUCUCCUCAUUUGCCAGGAAGGCACGUCAUCAGAAUGAACUUCCGCUCGUUUUGAUAGAGAACCUGAGGCCCUGGCCAGCUCAACGGGCCAGAAGUCUCUCCUUCCUGCCCCGAGGCGUCGGAAAGAAAGACUGCGGCGCCCCCUGGCGGUCUCCUUACACUGCUCUCCCGCCCGGGUCCUCGCACGCACGGCCUUCUCCCAAGCGCUGGCCUGCACCCAUGGCGUCCUCUGGCGGCCGCACCGUGAGACCCACAGGUUUUCCUGGAGCCAGGCAUGGGAGGAGCCCAGCCGUUCUGCGGGCUGACCUGGGCCCACCUGUACGCGCCGGGGGACCCUUCCUUCACUCUUACACUGGGCAGCACUCCACGCUGGGCACUGCUUAUCCCGACAUCUCAGGGGCUUCUCCAAUCUUUAAACAGUCUGUAAACACAGAAGCUGAGUUUAUCCUAAAGCCCUGCCCAUACUAGCUGUGCUUGUCUCCUCUCUCCCUGCCCUUCCAUUGGUACUGGGAAUUGAAUCCAGGACCUUCACAGCGAGCUACAUCCCCAGCUCUUUUAUUUUGAGACAGAGUCUCGAUAAGUUGCCC
rnacentral:lncRNA from 1 species